rnacentral:rRNA from 1 species
AAAGGAAUUGACGGGGGCCCGCACAAGCGGCGGAGCAUGCGGAUUAAUUCGAUGCAACGCGAAGAACCUUACCAAGGCUUGACAUGCACCGGACGCUGCCAGAGAUGGUGGUUCCGCAAGGUCGGUGCACAGGUGGUGCAUGGUUGUCGUCAGCUCGUGUCGUGAGAUGUUGGGUUAAGUCCCGCAACGAGCGCAACCCUCGUCCCAUGUUGCCAGCGGGUUAUGCCGGGGACUCAUGGGAGACUGCCGGGGUCAACUCGGAGGAAGGCGGGGAUGACGUCAAAUCAUCAUGCCCCUUAUGUCUUGGGCUUCACGCAUGCUACAAUGGCCGGUACAGAGGGCUGCGAUACCGUAAGGUGGAGCGAAUCCCAAAAAGCCGGUCUCAGUUCGGAUUGGGGUCUGCAACUCGACCCCAUGAAGUCGGAGUCGCUAGUAAUCGCAGAUCAGCAACGCUGCGGUGAAUACGUUCCCGGGCCUUGCACACACCGCCCGU